GACGAACGCUGGCGGCGUGCUUAACACAUGCAAGUCGAACGAUGAAGCUGGAGCUUGCUCCGGUGGAUUAGUGGCGAACGGGUGAGUAACACGUUAGCAAUCUGCCCUUGACUCUGGGAUAACUGCGGGCAACUGUAGCUAAUACCGGAUACGAGACCUGAAGUCAUCUUCGGGUCUGGAAAGAAUUUCGGUCAAGGAUGAGCUCGCGGCCUAUCAGCUUGUUGGGGAGGUAAUGGCUCACCAAGGCGACGACGGGUAGCCGGCCUUAGAGGGUGACCGGCCACAAUGGGACUGAGACACGGCCCAGACUCCUACGGGAGGCAGACGUGGGGAAUAUUGCACAAUGGGCGAAAGCCUGAUGCAGCAACGCCGCGUGAGGGAUGAAGGACUUCGGGUUGUAAACCUCUUUUAGCAGGGAAGAAGCGAAAGUGACGGUACCUGCAGAAAAAGCACCGGCUAACUACGUGCCAGCCGCCGCGGUAA
rnacentral:rRNA from 1 species